CUACGGGAGGCUCCAGUGGGGAAUAUUGCACAAUGGAGGAAACUCUGAUGCAGCAACGCCGCGUGGAGGAUGACACUUUUCGGAGCGUAAACUCCUUUUAUAUAGGAAGAAGAUGACGGUACUAUAUGAAUAAGCGCCGGCUAACUCCGUGCCAGCAGCCGCGGUAAUACGGAGGGCGCAAGCGUUACUCGGAAUCAAUGGGCGUAAAGAGCGUGUAGGCGGAUUAAAAGGUCAGAAGUGAAAUCCUAUAGCUUAACUAUAGAACUGCUUCUGAAACUCUUAAUCUAGAAUAUGGGAGAGGUAGAUGGAAUUUCUGGUGUAGGGGUAAAAUCCGUAGAGAUCAGAAGGAAUACCGAUUGCGAAGGCGAUCUACUAGAACAUUAUUGACGCUGAGACGCGAAAGCGUGGGGAGCAAACAGGAUUAGAUACCCGGGUAGUC
rnacentral:rRNA from 1 species